UAAAUAACAAUCGGUAUGUUGCUUUCUUGUGACAUUUCCGGAGUUGGGUCAUCUUAAUCUUUUAAGGGACCUAAAAUUGAUGUUCUUGAGCAUCUUGACGUGUAUAAUUUUUUUAUCUCGUCGCCGGAUGCUGAGGCAUUAUUAGGUGUGGCCAUGCUAAGUGGUUUCAUGCUUAUAGGAAUCUUGAUU
rnacentral:misc_RNA from 1 species